UACGUAGGGUGCAAGCGUUGUCCGGAAUUAUUGGGCGUAAAGAGCUCGUAGGCGGUCUGUCGCGUCUGCUGUGAAAACUCAGGGCUUAACCCUGAGCUUGCAGUGGGUACGGGCAGACUAGAGUGCGGUAGGGGAGACUGGAAUUCCUGGUGUAGCGGUGGAAUGCGCAGAUAUCAGGAGGAACACCGGUGGCGAAGGCGGGUCUCUGGGCCGAUACUGACGCUGGAGGAGCGAAAGCGUGGGGAGCGAACAGGA
rnacentral:rRNA from 1 species